GACGAACGCUGGCGGCGUGCUUAACACAUGCAAGUCGAGCGAUGAAGCUCCUUCGGGAGUGGAUUAGCGGCGGACGGGUGAGUAACACGUGGGCAACCUGCCUUGUAGAGAGGGAUAGCCAUUCGAAAGGAUGAUUAAUACCUCAUAAUAUUGUAGUUUCGCAUGAAACAACAACCAAAGGAGCAAUCCACUACAAGAUGGGCCCGCGGCGCAUUAGCUAGUUGGUGAGGUAACGGCUCACCAAGGCGACGAUGCGUAGCCGACCUGAGAGGGUGAUCGGCCACAUUGGGACUGAGACACGGCCCAGACUCC
rnacentral:rRNA from 1 species